GGUGGAGAUCAGUUCCAGGGGCAGGGAUCUGGGUAUGAAUAAAAGGGUGUAUGAUGUGGGUGGGUUGGGCUAGGCCCAGGAACCAGGAUUGUGGGCGAUCAGAUUCAGGGGUAGGGCUUUCCUUGGAUCCCUAGAUUGUUGAUAGUUACUUCCCCAUGUUCAUACAACCCAAUAGGAUCAGAUUAUAUAUGCACAUUUGUCUGUAACUUGCUUUCCCAAAGCAGAACAUAGUGAUUUAACACUAAGAGUUUAGGGGAGCAGGAGACGACUGGGUCAUAGAUACACAUAUAGGAAAACUUAAGAAUGUUACAAAGUCAGUCAAAUAUUCUCCCACCACUGUCUUUUCAGUUCUUUUGCUCAGAGGCAAAAAUAAUUUUCUCCUCUAUCUUUCCAGAUAUAGUGUGGACAUGUAUGUGUGUGUAUGUGUGUAUGCUGCAGUCAUAUUCGUGGAAUAAAUGCUAUUACCUCCCCCCCGCCA
rnacentral:sRNA from 1 species